GAUAAUUCUCUUUUGAAAUCCGCUCCGAUAUUCAGUCUCUGGAAAUACUUAGAAAUCGAUAAUGGCGAAUCUGAGACCAACUUACAGUAAUUAUCAACCUACAAACCCUUCAGAUGCUCCUAGUCCAGGAGUUGGUGGUGUGUGUAUGAUGCAAACCAAAUGGAGAGAUGAACAACAUCCAUCCCUCAUUCAUUCCAUUUCCUCUUUCCUUGCAGACAAUUCGUUCAAACUAAACUUUGUCCCUAUCGGCCCCGAUUUCAUAUUUAACUGUGGAGGACUCUCAGUCGCAUUCUUAUUUCUCACAAAAUGGGACUGCAACAUCUCUUCCUCCAUCUUUAGCAGAGUGCAGAAGCUGAAGGGGCAGUUUGCGCAUUUUUAUGUCAUUAUCACCCUUCCGACCCAGGAACAAAAUGACUCCUUCACUCGCUCCUACUUCAAGUAUGGUAUGGAGCUUGGGAAACCAACUUUUGUGCCGGUUCAAGACUUGGAGAUGGGAUUUGAGAAGAUUGUGAGAAUUGCUCAUUCUCGUGGAGUUUGCAAGCGACAGGGUGUAAUUGCCAAGAUAAAUGCCGAGAGGGAGCAAUCAGUUCUAGUGAUGGACCAGUUCGUCAAAGUGGUUACCUCAAUACCCGGGAUCAACAACCAUGAUGCUAAUACGCUCUAUGCAGCAAUUGGUUCUAUACAAGCAAUAUCCCAGGCAUCAAAAAGCCUAAUUUUGGAGAAAACAGAUCUUUCAGCAGAAAAGGCAGACACAAUAACAAGAUUUUUUAGGGAUCCAAACUAUUAUCUAAGCGUCAAACUCAAUUGACAGAAGGAACAGGUACUGGGGGUGUCAUCCGAGAUGAUUCACGGAAGUUUAUUGCUGCCUUUGCAGAGUGCAAGCAACACGGCUGAGCUCUGCGCCAUCCGAAAAUGCAAAAGAUCUAAACACACAAAAGGUAAUCUCACCGGUGAUCCACCGAAUGAUGAUCUCAACGGUUGGGCCUUUCCUUGUUAUGUAAGGCCCAUGUAUGUCACUUACCAAAAAUAAUCUUACCGCGUUUUGUUGCUGGUAAAAAAAGGAAACUACCACCGCGUUUCUUAAUUCCCAAGAAACAAUCCUAGUUGAACAAAAUUUAGAAGCCUAAUUUCUACAAUUCCUUAUAUAAACUCCACCUUGUACAUCUAUCUAUAAAUAGCAAUAGCUCUGUUUAAGUAUUUCUAUCACUUGCCAUUACAACCUGAGUGCUACAGACAGUGUUCUUGUUCAAACAUCAAAAUAUGGGUUGUAAUGAAAGAAAUAUGGGUUGUAAUGAAAGGGGGAAAUCAUCAUCAUCUUCCAUUAACAAUGUCGAUCAUAAGAUUAGAAAGAUUAGAAGGAAGAGUUUCAAGAACAGAAUCAAAGGGUUUGAGAAGAAAUUCUAUGAGUUGAGAACACUCUGUGAUGUUAAGGCUGCUGCAGUUGUUUAUUCUGAAUUCAUGAAUGGGGUUAAAUCAUUACCAGUGAA